UACGUAGGGGGCAAGCGUUGUCCGGAUUUAUUGGGCGUAAAGCGCGUGUAGGCGGCCAGGUAGGUCGGUUGUGAAAACUGGAGGCUCAACCUCCAGACGUCGACCGAAACCAUCUGGCUAGAGUCCGGAAGAGGAGAGUGGAAUUCCUGGUGUUGCGGUGAAAUGCGCAGAUAUCAGGAAGAACACCGAUGGCGAAGGCAGCUCUCUGGGACGGUACUGACGCUGAGACGCGAAAGCGUGGGGAGCGAACAGG
rnacentral:rRNA from 1 species